AAAGGAUUGGCUCUAAGAACCGGGUUAUUCGGGCUUUGUUGCGAGGCUAGUUAGCUCUCGGUCAUGACUGCAGGAUGCUUCGGUUGAAUGCGGGCUAGUGCUGUAGGGUUGCUGGUUGAGCGGCUUUGCUUUCGGUGCUUCGUUUGUGAAGCGUGUCUUUCGGGAUGCGUGGAGCGGCGUUGUGCCUCGGGUAACGUUUAACGGUUGGCUUAGAACUGACACGGACUCAGGGAAUCCGACUGUCUAAUUAAAACAGAGCAGAUAGAAGGCGUUUAUGUGCGUUGACUAUCUGUGAUUUCUGCCCAGUGCUCUGAAUGUUAUGCUAAGGAAACUUGAUUAAGCGCGGGUAAACGGCGGGAGUAACUAUGACUCUCUUAAGGUAGCCAAAUGCCUCGUCAUCUAAUUAGUGACGUGCACGAAUGGAUUAACGAGAUUCCCACUGUCCCUAUCUACUAUCUAGCGAAAUCACAGCCAAGGGAACGGGCUUGGCAUGUUAUGCGGGGAAAGAAGACCCGAUUGAGCUUGACUCUAGUCUGACUUUGUGAAGAAUCAUAGAAGGUGUAGUAUAGGUGGGAGACUUCGGUCGUCAGUGAAAUACCACCACUUUUAUCGAUUCCUUACUUAUUCGGUUAUAUGGGGAUUGCUGUAUAGCUUUCUCUUGGCAUUAAGCCAUGGUGCUUGCACCGUGGUGACCCACGUCGAUGACAUUGUCAGGUGGGGAGUUUGACUGGGGCGGUACAUCUGUCAAACCGUAACGCAGGUGUCCUAAGCCGUACUCAGACAGGACAGAAACCUGUCGUAGACUAAAAGGAGAAAAGUAUGAUUGAUCUAGAUUCUCAGUACGAAUACAGACCGUUAAAGCGUGGCCUAUCGAUCCUUUUGGAUUAUGGAGUUUAUAAUAAGAGGUGUCAGAAAAGUUACCAUCGGGAUAACUGGCUUGUGG
rnacentral:rRNA from 1 species